rnacentral:rRNA from 1 species
GGGCCCGCACAAGCGGUGGAGUAUGUGGUUUAAUUCGAUGCAACGCGAAGAACCUUACCAGGGUUUGACAUCCUGCGAAUCUCUUGGAAACUUGAGAGUGCCUUCGGGAGCGCAGUGACAGGUGGUGCAUGGCUGUCGUCAGCUCGUGUCGUGAGAUGUUGGGUUAAGUCCCGCAACGAGCGCAACCCACGUCUUUAGUUGCCAGCAUUUAGUUGGGCACUCUAGAGAGACCGCCGGUGAUAAACCGGAGGAAGGUGUGGAUGACGUCAAGUCAUCAUGCCCCUUACAUCCUGGGCUACACACGUACUACAAUGCUACGGACAAAGGGCAGCAAGUUCGCGAGGACAAGCAAAUCCGAGAAAGCCGGUCGUAGUCCGGAUUGGGGUCUGCAACUCGACCCCAUG